rnacentral:rRNA from 1 species
UAGGGAAUCUUCCGCAAUGGGCGAAAGCCUGACGGAGCAACGCCGCGUGAGUGAAGACGGCCUUCGGGUUGUAAAACUCUGUGAUUCGGGACGAAAGAUAAGCAGACGAAUAAUCUGCAUAAGUGACGGUACCGAAAAAGCAAGCCACGGCGAACUACGUGCCAGCAGCCGCGGUAAUACGUAGGUGGCAAGCGUUGUCCGGAAUUAUUGGGCGUAAAGCGCGCGCAGGUGGUUUAGAAAGUCUGAUGUGAAAGCCCACGGCUCAACCGUGGAGGGUCAUUGGAAACUAAUAAACUUGAGUGCAGGAGAGAAAAGUGGAAUUCCUAGUGUAGCGGUGAAAUGCGUAGAGAUUAGGAGGAACACCGGUGGCGAAAGCGGCUUUUUGGCCUGCAACUGACACUGAGGCGCGAAAGCGUGGGGAGCAAACAGG